UUGGGUGUAAAGUGUGCGCAGGCGGUUGUGCAAGACCGAUGUGAAAUCCCCGAGCUUAACUUGGGAAUUGCAUUGGUGACUGCACGGCUAGAGUGUGUCAGAGGGGGUAGAAUUCCACGUGUAGCAGUGAAAUGCGUAGAGAUGUGGAGGAAUACCGAUGGCGAAGGCAGCCCCCUGGGAUAACACUGACGCUCAUGCACGAAAGCGUGGGGAGCAAAACAGGAUUAGAUACCCGGGUA
rnacentral:rRNA from 1 species